rnacentral:sRNA from 1 species
AUUCAUAUAACAAAAACUAAUGAUUGAUUAAAAAAAAAAUAACUAAUGAUUUCAUUUCUCUAUUUUGUAGGUUGAUGAAAAUGAAAUUGGGAUAUUCACUUCCAGUGAUGUGCAUGAUUUUGUUCUGCUAUAUUCUAUGUUGUAGCCUUUUGAUGAGUCAUUGUCAUGGCGUUGUAGAAGCAGCAAAGGCAUUAAAAAGCAAUGAAGAUCUUGAAAUAGAGCAAAAACUUGAGCUUAUCAACAAACAUACGGUUAAAAUCAUAAAGGUUUAUCCUCUUACCAUAUUAUAGAAUAAUUGAAUGUGUUUAAAUAUGUAUAACAUUAGAAUCUUUAUCGUAAGUAUAUGAUCCUAAAGUAUCCUUGGAUGUGUAUAGUAUAAACACGAUUUUAGUUAUGAAAUCAUGCGUGAAACACUUAGUAUUUAUUAUGAAAACAUAUAA